CUCCGGAACAAAAACAUGAUUGGUCAUAAAUAAUAAAAUAGAAAGAAGUGGCGAAAAUCAACAGAGUGAGACAGGAUUAAGAAACUGACUGACUGACUGACUGGCCGGAGAAGAUACAACCGACCUAGUGAAGGACCAAGUAAAGGAGAAAGAAUUCGAAAACGAAGAAGAUAACAGGGAGAGAAAGUGAAGAAAGAAGAGAAGACAACUCUUUUCCUGAUUGCCAUUGGGUGUUGCAAUCCCGUCCUUUCACAGCACGCAGAAUUGUUUCUGUUCCAAGCAGAAUGGACGAUCAAAAUAAGUUUAUUCCAACAGCAGUUGCUCCCGGAAACAGAAAUGAAAGAACCUAUCCCUCUCCAGAACCUAAGGAAACAAAUGAACCAACAGAAAAAAGUUCUGGAAACGAUGGAAAA